rnacentral:rRNA from 1 species
GACGAACGCUGGCGGCGUGCCUAAUACAUGCAAGUAGAACGCUGAAGGAGUAGCUUGCUUCUCUGGAUGAGUUGCGAACGGGUGAGUAACGCGUAGGUAACCUGCCUGGUAGCGGGGGGUAACUAUUGGAAACGAUAGCUAAUACCGCAUAAGAGUAGAUGUUGCAUUACAUUUGCUGAAAAUUUGCAAUUGCAUCACUACCAGAUGGACCUGCGUUGUAUUAGCUAGGUGGGGGGGUAACGGCUCACCAAGGCCACGAUACAUAGCCGACCUGAGAGGGUGAUCGGCCAACCUGGGAAUGAGACAAGGCCCAGAAUCCUACGGGAGGCAGCAGUAGGGAAUCUUCGGCAAUGGACGGAAGGCUGACCGAGCCACGCCGCGUGAGUGAAGAAGGUUUUCGGAUCGUAAAGCUCUGUUGUAAGAGAAGAAAGAGUGUGAGAGUGGAAAGUUCACACUGUGACGGUAUCUUACGAGAAAGGGACGGCUAACUACGUG